UUUUUUAUAAAGGGACACUAUAGUCACCAUAACAACUUUAGCUUAAUUAAGCAGUUGUGCUGUAUAGAUCUGCAGUCUAACUGCUCAAUUCUCUGCCAUUUAGGAGUUAAAUUGCUCUGUUUAUACAGCCCUAGUCCCACCAACCUCAAUGUGACUUGCAUAGCAUUCCUAAACAUUUCCUGUAAAAAGACAUCUAAUGUUUAAACUUCCUUUAUUACACAAUUUGUAUAAUUUAGAAUUUAUUGCUUCCUGC